UGCACAUAAAAGUGGUGACACGUUUGCGAGUUGCCAAUUAAAUCAUUAUUUGCUUUAGAGCCACGGCUCUUAACUAGUGGCGAUUUUGUAUCCCAGAGGACACUUGGCAAUGUCUGGAGACAUUUUAAGUUGUUUUGACUCGAGGAGGCGCUAGUCGUUAGAGGCCACGGAUGGGGUUCAACACCCUGCAAUGCCCAGGAUGGCCCUUACAACAAAGAACUGUCUGGCCCCAGCAUGUCAGAAGUGCUGAGGCUGAGAAGCCUGGGCCUAGAGCAGGAGGUUCCUAACUCGGAAGAGCACACAUCUGAACUC